GACAGAGGAGCCAAGCGUUGUCCGGAUUGACUGGGCGUAAAGCGCACGCAGGCGGUGCUGCGCGUGGGGUGUGAAAUCUGGCCGCUUAACGGCCAGGCGCCAUCCCAUACGGCAGCACUGGAGCCGUGCAGAGGGCGGUGGAAUUGCCGGUGUAGUGGUGAAAUGCGUAGAGAUCGGCAGGAACACCCAGGGGGAAACCAGCCGCCUGGGCACGCGCUGACGCUGAGGUGCGAGAGCGUGGGGAGCGAACCGG
rnacentral:rRNA from 1 species